AAUGAACGCUGGCGGCAGGCCUAACACAUGCAAGUCGAACGCCCCGCAAGGGGAGUGGCGCACGGGUGAGUAACGCGUGGGAAUAUGCCCUUCGGUUCGGAAUAACACAGGGAAACUUGUGCUAAUACCGGAUACGAUCUACGGAUGAAAGAUUUAUCGCCGAAAGAGCGGCCCGCGUUAGAUUAGCUAGUUGGUGAGGUAAAGGCUCACCAAGGCUACGAUCUAUAGCUGGUCUGAGAGGAUGAUCAGCCACACUGGGACUGAGACACGGCCCAGACUCCUACGGGAGGCAGCAGUGGGGAAUCUUGCGCAAUGGGCGAAAGCCUGACGCAGCCAUGCCGCGUGAAUGAUGAAGGUCUUAGGAUUGUAAAAUUCUUUUACCAGGGACGAUAAUGACGGUACCUGGAGAAAAAGCCCCGGCUAACUUCGUGCCAGCCGCCGCUGUAACAC
rnacentral:rRNA from 1 species